CCCCACAUCUCACAGUCAAAUUGAAAAUAGUUUCCUUUAUAAGACAGUCAUUAGAACUGAGGACGGGAGACCCAAAACAAUAAUUUGAACUGCUAUUUAAUUUUAAUAUUAUAUUAUUUAUUUUUGUAUAUAUGUAAUGUUUGUAACAGAUCAUGUUUUUUGACUUAUAUGGCAAUAAAAGUGUUUGAUUAUUUGAUUUGAUUUAAUCUCUUGUAUUAUGGAUAAUAAAGUAGGUGAAUAUAGUUGUUAUUCUUAGAAAUUUAAAUGUGGGUUUCAAACGUUCAAUUUGCGAUUUGUUUCAAAUUGUGCGCCAGCAAGGAAAGUUUGUACUAUGACGUCAGAUUCAAUGUUCUGAAGAAAACAACUCUUUUCUUCAAAACGAACAAGAAAAAAAGAUGAAAAUUACUCAUAACUUUUUUGAAAGGUCGGUGAUAUACAUUUUUCUUUGCUUUAUUUUGAAGAGUACACAUGGCACUUUCCUUCUUGAAAUUUUUAUGAAGAAAUCACUGGUGGAUAUUUUUUAAUACUGGAAACAUUUUUCAUUUUAUGUUUUAUUUAUGGCGAGAAUGAAAUAAAUCAUAUUUUUAAAGAUCAAAACAAUAUGAGUCUUAAACUCUUGAACCUGUAUUUGAUAGCCACAAAUCUACUGUUUAACGUGAAACAAGAAUUAUGCUUGUAGGUUUGAUAUAAAGUAUUUUUUUGAGAGAUUAGAUAACAAGCAAAUAUCAUGUUAAUAUUCAGGAAAACAUGAAACUUUUUUGCUAUAGUGACAAAACUAAGUCGGUUACCCUGAAUGUUUUUAUCAUAUUUUGUUCCUCAAAUCAUGAAAUACCUUUACACAAAACUUUAAGAUAAAUUCUGAUAAAUCACUGGUAGAACUGAAUAGGCUGUUUGGUCUUUAAGUGAGGUUUUGGAAUAAGUGCCAAAUGUUUGGACUCCUUUGUGUUUUUCCAUACGACACAAGGUAAAAUAUUUUGCCCCAUAACAACCUAUUUAUCUUUUAACAUAAGACUUCAUAGCUCAUAAAAGGUGAUUUGACAAAUUUAAGCAGAUUCUUGAUUUUCUUUCUGUUGAUUUGAGACCCAAAUAAUACCAAUGCAAAUAUAAGGUAAAAGUAGUCCUUUUUCUGCCAUAUUUUAUAAAUCAAAUAUCUGGAAAAGGAGCUCCAUGACCUAUCAAUAUUUUUAAGUUUAUUUUUAUCCUUAACUAAUACUCUUCCAGCUUAAAGUAUCAAUUUUGAAUUAUUGAUUUAUUUACUUUUACCUUAGAUCACCUAACUACAUCCUUAAUUGAAUUU
rnacentral:lncRNA from 1 species